UACGAAGGGGGCUAGCGUUGUUCGGAAUCACUGGGCGUAAAGCGCACGUAGGCGGAUCGUUAAGUCGGGGGUGAAAUCCCAGGGCUCAACCCUGGAACUGCCUUCGAUACUGGCGAUCUUCGAGUCCGGGAGAGGUGAGUGGAACUCCGAGUGUAGAGGUGAAAUUCGUAGAUAUUCGGAAGAACACCAGUGGCGAAGGCGGCUCACUGGCCCGGUACUGACGCUGAGGUGCGAAAGCGUGGGGAGCAAACGGG
rnacentral:rRNA from 1 species